AUGGACACCACCAGGUACAGCAAGUGGGGCUGGGGCGGCAGCUCAGAGGAGGUCCCUGGAGGGAGCUGGGGACGCUGGGUGCACUGGAGCCGGAGACCCCUUUUCCUGGCCCUGGCUGUCCUGGUCGCCACAGUCCUGUGGGCUGUGAUUCUGAGUAUCCUAUUGUCCAAGGCCUUCACGGAGCGCGCGGCGCUGCUCGGCUGCCAGGACCUGCUGAGGACAAACGCCUCCAAGCAGACGGCGGCACUGGGUGCCCUGAAGGAGGAGAUCCGAGUCUGCCGCAGCUGCUGCUGGCGGACGCAGACGCAGCUGCAGACCACGCGCUCGGAGCUUGGGAGGCGCAGGCAAAGCUGAUGGAGCCGGAGAGCGCCCUGCGGGAACUGCUUGAGCGCUUGACCCAGGGCUUGGCUGAAGCCGGCAGGGACCGCUAGGACGUCCGCUCUGGGCUGUUCCUGGCGCUGGAGGCAGUGAGGCUGCAGAACAGUUCCUGUGAGCCGGGUCCCACGUCGUGGCUGCCCUUCGGGAGCUCCUGCUACUAUUUCUCUGUGCCGAAGACCCACGUGGGCAGAGGCGCAAGGCCACUGCGCCGAUGCCAGCGCACAUCUGUAGGGGGCCUAGAGGAGCAGGGCUUCCUGAGUCAUCACACUAGCGCCCUUGAAUACUGGAUCGGCCGCAAGGCGGUGCAACACUUGUGCAAGGUUCAGGGCUCCUCGUGGGUGGACAGAGUCCCACUCAGCUUCAGCCACUGGUUACAGGGGAACCCAGUGAAUCUUGGGGGUUCGAGGCCUGUGUCAUGAUUCUAGGCACGGGGUUGUGGAUGGACCCACCAUGUGAUGAUAAGGCUGACCGGAUCUGUGAGAAGAGGCAUGGUGCUGAACCCGCCCGGUGCUCCAGAGCCAUGCCCAGUGCCCAACGGGGUGCCAUGCACCAUCCCGGCUCCUGGAACCUACUGGCAAUGAUUUUCUUUUCUCCAUCCACCACUGUGAGAACCAAUCAGCCAGGCCCAGCCCUGUCCGGUGCCUGCACUCUGGGACCUCUGCUCUGACCUCAUGGAGACCUAACCUAACCUUCACUGGCUCCAAAAUCUCCAUUUCUGGAUCCCAGUGGUCUGACCCCACCUCUCCUCCUAGCCAAGGUCAGGCAACUGAGGAAUGGAACUAUUUGGUUUUCCUGCACUUUCCUGCAAAGGGGAGAAUGGUACUUCCUACAAAGCUCUCUUCGCAGCCUGGGGGAGCAUCAAUUAAGGUUUGAGAAGUGGAUCCAG